GCAGGCUUGGGCUCAGAGACCUGACAGCUGCCAUCCAGCAGCCAUUACCCAGCUGUGGUCCAGAGCCAAGUGGCGGCAGAGCAAGGGGCAUCAGCUACUGCCAAGCCCAGAGCCAUUUCCAUCCUGCAGAAGACGACCCACCACCCACAGCUUCUGCCAUCUCUCUCCUCUUUUUUCCUCAGCCACAGGCUCCCAGACAUGACAGCCAUCAUCAAAGAGAUCGUUAGCAGAAACAAAAGGAGAUAUCAAGAGGAUGGAUUCGACUUAGAAUUAACCUAUAUUUAUCCAAACAUUAUUGCUAUGGUAUUUCCUGCAGAAAGACUUGAAGGCGCAUACAGGAACAAUACUGAUGAUGUAGAAACGUUUUUGGAUUCAAAGCAUAAAAACCAUUACAAGAUAUACAAUCUUUGUGCUGAAAGACAUUAUGACACCGCCAAAUUUAACGGCAGAGUUGCACAAUAUCCUUUUGAAGACCAUAACCCACCACAGCUAGAACUUAUCAAACCUUUUGUGAAGAUCUUGACCAAUGGCUAAGUCAUGUUGCAGCAACUCACCAUAAAGCUGGAAAAGGACAAAUUGGUGUAAUGAUUCGUGCAUAUUUAUUACAUAGGGGCAAAUUUUUCAAACCACAAGAGGCCCUAGAUUUCUAAGGGGAAGUAAGGACCAGAAACUAAAAGGGAGUAACUAUUCCCAGUCAGAGGUGCUAUAUGUAUUAUUACAGCUACCUGUAAAAGAAUCAUCUGGAUUAGACCAGUGGCACUGUUGUUUCACAAGUCUUUGAAACUAUUCCAAUGUUCAGAGGCAGAACUUUCAAGCCUCAGUCUGUGGUCUGAUAGCUAAAGGUGAAGAUACAUUCCUCCAAUUCAGGACUCACACGAUGGGAAGACAAGUUCUUGUACUUUGAGUUCUCUCAGCCAUUACCUGUGUGUGGUGAUAUGAAAGUAGAGUUCUUCCACAAGCAGAACAAGAUGCUAAAAAAGGACAAAAUGUUUCACUUUGGGUUAUAUACAUUCUUCAUACCAGAAACAGAGGAAACCUCAGAAAAAGUAGAAAAUGGAAAUCUAUGUGAUCAAGAGGUUGAUAGCAUUUGCAGUAUAGAGCAUGCAGAUAAUGACAAGGAAUAUUAUUUUGUUAAAGUACUUACUUUAACAAAAACUGACCUUGACAAAGCAAAUAAAAAACAAAGCCAAUCAUGGAAGAGCUCCUGGCCCAGGCCCUGGCCUUGGACAACGGCCAGAAAGCUCUUCCUUUAAUCAAUGCAGCUGAUAUUGGCCAACACCUGUAAGCACUGCCUAGAGAGGACAUGAAAUGACUAAAUCUUGGCCCCAGUUCAGAGACAGCGUCUGGUGACAGACUCCCACUUUCCACAAUUUCUCCAGGCCCACCCCCAAGUCCCUCCCUGCACAGGCACCUGAGCAGAGGAGACAGACAGCAGCCCUAGCCUGGUGGUGUCCACACCCCGGCUACCUGGCCAUCUCAGACUCACCUAUACUAGUCACACUGAGAAGUCCUCAGAGGACACAUCAGCCUUGUUUAACUCAGUAUUUCCCCAGGACUCCUCCUCCCCAGCUCUACCCUGGGUGUGGAGGACCCUCUGUGAAGGACAGACAACAGGCAGUCUCCUGGUCAGACCUCACCCAUCCAGGCUGGUGAGCACACUCACAAAUCCAGCUUCAUUCAAACAGCAAAAUGAUUCCCACACAAGUGACAUCUGGCAGUUCUUGUGUCCAGCAAAGCCAUGGGACAGGCAGGACUGCCCGGGGCUCCACAUUUCCAGGCCAGGAGCAGCAGCCUCACCCAGCCUACCCCAACCCCCAGUGCCAGCCUGAGCAGGAGAGGUACCCCCCAACUCCAGGCUCAGCCCUUUACAGGCUCAGCCCUGCAGACCUUAUCAGUGCCUUGGCUGAUGACCCCUCUUAUCCAGACAUCUCAAGCUCAGCCAUAAAAGGAAAGCGAACAUGGCUUUCUCUGGCAAUGCCAAGAGCUCAUGCUCCAAAAAUGCUCUUGGACAGAACAAAGAUGCUCACCCCUCCCCACUGGUCCUUGCAGGUGCUGCUGAGACACUCCCAUCCCUCAGGGAUUCAUGGGAGGGCACCAUGUGACUGGAACCCAGCAGCCUGCAUAGAGACCUUAGAAAGGUCUCUCUCACCUCCCAGUUCAACCUGCCCAGGAGGGUCCUGUGACCCGUGCAUGGUGCAGCUCCCAGGAAGCUGCCCAGGGAGGCCCUGUCCGUACCUCUGCAGCUGCAGAGCCCAUGCCUAUCUACCUUCUGGAAGGCGCAACUUCUGCAGUGGGGGUUUUAGGAUGGGGCAGAGCUUUGGGGAGGGAGAUGCCAGGUGGAGGGAAGAUCAGAGAAUGUUUGGGAACCCGGCCUGUGGUUGCCAAGAAAGUUGGAAGACCUACUGAGCCUGCAGAAACUGAGGCCAGGCAUGGUAGCUCACACCCAUAUUCC